GACGUAGGGCGCAAGCGUUGUCCGGAUUUAUUGGGCGUAAAGAGCUCGUAGGCGGCUUGUCGCGUCGACUGUGAAAACCCGUGGCUCAACCAUGUGGUCUGCAGUCGAUACGGGCAGGCUAGAAUUCGGUAGGGGAGACUGGAAUUCCUGGUGUAGCGGUGAAAUGCGUAGAUAUCGGGAGGAACACCAGUGGCGAAGGCGGCUUUCUGGUCUGCUCUUGACGCUGAGGCGCGAAAGCUAGGGUAGCAAACGGG
rnacentral:rRNA from 1 species